UACGUAGGGGGCAAGCGUUGUCCGGAUUUAUUGGGCGUAAAGAGCGUGUAGGCGGCCAGGUAGGUCCGUUGUGAAAACUCGAGGCUCAACCUCGAGACGUCGGCGGAAACCCUCUGGCUAGAGUCCGGAAGAGGAGAGUGGAAUUCCUGGUGUAGCGGUGAAAUGCGCAGAUAUCAGGAAGAACACCCGUGGCGAAGGCGGCUCUCUGGGACGGUACUGACGCUGAGACGCGAAAGCUAGGGGAGCAACAGG
rnacentral:rRNA from 1 species